UACGGAGGGUGCGAGCGUUGUCCGGAAUCACUGGGCGUAAAGGGCGCGCAGGCGGCUGCUCAAGUCAGGCGUGAAAGGCCUGGGCUCAACCCGGGAAUUGCGCUUGAGACUGGGCUGGCUUGAGUGCGGGAGAGGAUGGUGGAAUUCCCAGUGUAGAGGUGAAAUUCGUAGAUAUUGGGAAGAACACCGAUGGCGAAGGCAGAUCUCUGGGCCGUAACUGACGCUGAGGAGCGAAAGCAUGGGGAGCGAACAGG
rnacentral:rRNA from 1 species